UGUCCGGUUAAACACUUGAGAAGUUGCAGAUCGUUAGCGCCCGGUAUCGCCGCUCGAGUGGACCAUUUAUUGGGCUAAGCGUCGUAGCUGAUUUAGUCUCUUGGGAAAUCUCAACGGCUUAACUGUGAGGCGUUUAAGAGAUACUGGGAAUCUAGGGACCCGGAGAAGGUAAGAGGUACUUCAGGGGUAGAAGUGAAAUUCUGUAAUCCUUGAGGGACCACCGAUGGCGAAAGGCAUCUUACCAGAACGGCUUCGACAGUGAGGAACGAAAGCUGGGGGAGCGAACGGGAUUAGAUACCCCGGUAGUCCCAGCCGUAAACUAUGCGCGUUAGGUGUGCCUGUAACUACGAGUUACCGGGGAUGCAGAAGUGAAAACGUGAAACGUGCCGCAUGUGGGUGAAAAAAAAGCAAGGCUGAAACUUCAAGGAAUUGGCGGGGGAGCACCACAACGGGUGGAGCCUGCGGUUUAAUUAGACUCAACGCCGGGCAGCUCACCAGAUAGGACAGCGGAAUGAUAGCCGGGCUGAAGACCUUGCUUGACCAGCUGAGAGGAGGUGCAUGGCCGUCGUCAGUUCGUACUGUGAAGCAUCCUGUUUAGUCAGGCAACGAGCGAGACCCAUA
rnacentral:rRNA from 1 species